UGAGGUAACCUUGAGAGGUCUGAUGACUCAGUAAUAAGGUAGAAUCAGGUCAGGUCAAUGAAAACACUUUUCCUCAACUUGACUUGGGUGUCUGUUUUUACACGGCUUUCUUGGUAUAAAGAUCUCUGUAGCAAAGCCAAUGUUUUCUUGACUGAAAUAUGUUAUUUCAAGCAUUCUGAAAAUAAAAAGAAGGGUUUUCAAGUGGAUGUAUCUGGUAAAAUUACCGUCUUUGGUAUUUCAGUAAUUCGGUGCUUUCCAACAAUCAAAAAAAAAAUGUAGAAAAAUUCCUGUCUGAUGCUAAUUGUCCUGCUCUGACAUUCAGUCCCAAGGAUUUUGAUUAUUCAUACCUAUUCUUUAUUGAAAUGGACUGGAUUCUGCUCACUUCUUGCUUAUUGACACUUAUUUUUAGACAUUGAGAGAAGGAAAUUGCUUAUUACUCCUGUAUCUGUAAGUAACAAAUAAGUUUAAUUUCUGCAGAAGUUAAAUUUCUUUUUGGACAUGAGAUGUAUGUGAAUCACCAUCUUUCUCUCUCACAUAUGUGACUGACUUUUGAUUGCAUUUGAAACUAAGCUGCUCCUUUACAAGCUUCAUCCCUGAUGCUGUGCAGAAAGCAGCUAGAAUGCCCUGAGGGCUGCCAAAGCCUAUUCCAUAUAAUCUUGAAACCAGAAGUUGCUGACCGAGCCGCCUGAAGUGUGGCAAAGAGGCCCAAAGUUUCAGCAAAUGAAUAGCUAUGCUGUACAAACUACAUAUUAUGAGUAUAGCUUUCCAGCAGUACCUUCCUACUCCACCCACGCACUGGGUGGUUUUCUCUUCAGUCUGAAAUGCUGAGCCUGUUGGAAUGAGUAAUCUGCAAAGUAUAUGCUUAUAGAAGGGGUUACUUACAGUGCUCAGGUGUCAAAAUGUAUUUUCUCAUCAUCUGACAUGAGAUGAAAACACAAAGCAGUGCGAGGCACCUGUAUAACUGCGCAGCAAGCAGCUCCCUUUGUGCUUUCAGAAAUGGUUCUCCAGGAGCUGACGCAGCGCAAUCUCACCCCAUCACCUGGGCAGUCGGUUUCUGGCCAGCUGGAUGACCAGGAGGGCUGCUUGUGAAGCACUUGUAGAUUUAUCGCAGGAAUCCAAACGUCCUGUGAGUGUGGAAACUGCGCCUUGCUGAUACAAGUUUCUUCACAGCCAAAACGCAUCAUUUUUUUUACUGGUGCACAGCAGCCUAAGACUGGACUUCGGAAAGACCCAAAUCAAGAGCUCACAGAUUCCAGAAUAGUGUGCCAAAGUAGACAGAGAAUAUUACAUUUUCAUUUUAAAGUGUUGCUAUUUUAGACGUUAGGCACAGUUCCUUACAUCCUGAUAAGAUCUGCAGCAUCAGGUUGGCCAGAAUUCCCUCUGUCGGAGCAUGGUUGCUACAAAAACAAAGCCAAAGCAUUCAGCCUUGCAGUUUUAACUGUUUUAAUUUUAAAGGCAAUGCCUAUAUUGUAGAACUUUGUGAAAAUUCAGCAGUGCCGAGCCCUGGCCCUACUCUGCUUCCACAGACUGGAAGUAUUUCUGCACACGCUCUUUGUAAGUGCCUCCAUCAAAAGAAUCUGCUGUUCCUGCGGGUCCAGCAAUGAAAGUGAUUCCACUUAAAAUUGUCAUACCAGAGUCAAGACUAUGUUCAAAUGCUUUGCUUAGAAAAUCAAAUGACCUCUGUUGCGUCAAGCCUCUUUUGAAAUAGUAAAACUUAGUAAUUUGCCAGGGUAAGCACGCUUUUAGGCUUUGCCUGCCCCGAGUUGGGAAGUAAACUGUGGGACAGGUGGAUAUGGCUGAACUGGCUGCACCGCGAUGACCUCGAAGGACAAAGUCCAAGCAGUGUGCUGUGGCAGCAUGGGCUCCAGCAGAAACCAGGCACCCCACUACGGACUUGAGCUUUUGACUGAUUUCCUCCAACUGCCAAAAUCUGCUACAGUGUUUUCUCAGGCAUGCCCCGAAUGCCUCCACAUAACGAUCUGUGUGCAGCCUCAGACAUUUGGAAGUAAUUCCAUUUCUCACUGUAUACUUGAGGCUUGAUUGUUGUCAUCAGGGACUAUUUGUAUGAGCACUGCUGCAGGCCAGGCUCUUCAAACUCCCUCUUCAACCUUUUCUCCUACCAAGGAAUUUGACCAGCCAUUCUACUUCUGAACCAAAGUAACAGUGGAGAAAAAUAAAGACAUUUUUACACCUGUCCUUAUUUACGGGAUGACUCUAGUGAGUUAGUUAAACCAAAUGCUUUUCUGCUAUGCACAGACUCAACGCUGUAAGGUUACCCACAGAAAAAGACCAAUGUGACCAAUCUUUCCAGUGCACUGCCCUGUCCAUAGGAUAAGAUGGGGUCUUUAGAAAGGCUGCCUUGUUCAUUAAUUAGCUCAGGAAUGAUGAAGUCAAUAUGCAGAUACAACACCAUCAGAUACUCUUAAUGAAUUGAGCAGUAUAAGAAACAGUGGAUAACACUGUAGGACCAGGAAGAGAAAUCCUUUUUACCAGAAGGGCUCCCAGUAUAUUCUACCUUCAUAUCCAGCAUGUGUUGGACCUCGUAAUUAAAAUAUUGUUCUCGAUUGUUGUGUUUUGGAAAUCAAAUUUUUCCAUUAAAAAAGAGAGCAAAACUAUUGUUCUCACUGGUUGAGCCAUAACUACGUGAACCUGUGAGUGAGGGGAAAUCUGGACCAACAAACCAAAUGUUGGGGUAGUAUUGCUCCCAUCCAGUUAAGGAAAUGUGGGGAAUCAGUUAUAUUCUUAGAAUAUCAAGUUAAAAUUCAUUCAGAGGAGUCUAACAAUAUCCUAAGCGUGGUUCUUGCUUUUCAGCUUUCCCCAUUCAUCCAAAUUUUGAAUCACAGUGCUGAGAUGGAAAACAGAAUUAUUUAUUUUGGCAAAAUUUUCUGGAAGGGAUAAAACCAAUAGCCAGAUCACACUCAGAGGCCUUUACGUGGGAGGUUCUCUCUUCUCCUGAGUCAACAUAUAUUGGUUUAUCAUUGAUUUUUGCUUCUGGACUGCUCUUCAGAGCUUGGAGGUUGGGUUUUCUUGGUUGACAAACCUUGGUGGGUGAACUCCCUCCCUGUAGUGCCAGCCAGAACAGCUGGCCAGCUGCAAAGUGCAUGUAUUCAGUAAGGCUCCGGUUAACUGCUGUAGCAAUUUCAGCAGUUAAUUAAGUCCCUGCUUGGGAGCUGACUUACAUCUUGAUACUUGGCAGUAUUUAUUUAUACUUAAUGUUAUGGUAGUGGACUUUGCAAGAAAAACAGUUGAGUCUCUGUAAUUUUCCAUUCC